CAGGCCUCCCUCUGCUUGGUUCCGCUCGUGGGCAUGAGUGAGGGGCGAUGCUUGAUGGCUUUGAUGCCAUCGGUGGGAAUGUGUUUAAGCAUCGGCCUUCCCUCAUGACCACGAUGGUCUACAGUCUUGUGUACGAGUUAGUGACGUCGCUUGUUUGUUUUGAUGCUUGCGUUGGAACUUGCUUAAGCAACCGACCUGACGAAGUACCCAUGAAUGUCACCCAUGAUGGUCUACAGUCUUGUGUACGAGUUAGGGACGUCGCUUGUUUGUUUUGAUGCUUGCGUUGGAACUUGCUUAAGCAACCGACCUGACGAAGUACCCAUGAAUGUCACCUAUGAUGGUCUACAGUCUUGCGUACGAGUUAGUGACGUCGCUUGUUUGUUUUGAUGCUUGCGUUGGAACUUGCUUAAGCAACCGACCUGACGAAGUACCCAUGAAUGUCACCUAUGAUGGUCUACAGUCUUGCGUACGAGUUAGUGACGUCGCUUGUUUGUUUUGAUGCUUGCGUUGGAACUUGCUUAAGCAACCGACCUGACGGAGUACCCAUGAAUGUCGUUCAUGAUGGUCUACAGUCUUGGGUAUGAGUCAGUGAUGAUGCUUGUUUGUUUUGAUGCUCGCGUUUGAACUUGCUCAGCAACCGACCAGACGAAGUACCCAUGAAUGUCGCCCAUGAUGGUCUACAGUCUUGGGUAUGAGUCAGUGACGAUGCUUGUUUGUUCUGAUGCUUGCGUUUGAACUUGCCAAGUCUGCGAUCCAGGGGGUGAUGUGAGAGCCGGAAGGCAAGGUGCAAACACUAGUCUGCCUUUGUCCCGAUUGCCGAGUGUUAUGUGCUUGAUGUCCAAGGCUUGAUGCUGAUCCUCCAAGUGGGGCUUGUCCCUGCACCAAUGGCUUUUGCCAGGAUCAUGGCGUUUGUUAUGAUCGAAAAACUGAGGGGGUGAUGUUUAGAGCUGGAAGGCAAGGGGGUGCAAACACCAGUCGGCCUUUGUCCCGAUUGCUGAGUGUUAUGUGCUUGAUGUCCAAGGCUUGAAUCUGACCCUCCAAGUGGGGGCUUUUUUGUUCCUGCGAUAACGACUAUGUUGGGAUCAUUGUGAUCAAGUUUGGUUGGUUUCGUAUUGUGGUGGGUUUUUUCGAAGCUUCUAUCGUUCUUUUACGCAUCGUGCGGUGCAUCUUGGGGGCUGUUUUGGCUUUUGGUUGCUUGCUUGGGCUUUAUGCUAGGCGGGUGGCUAAU
rnacentral:misc_RNA from 1 species